CGAAUCCUGCACGACCCACCAAUUUCAGUAUUUAACUCAGAUGCUGAACGUGAAGGAUAACGUUGCGACAGCAACGGCCCGAAGGGCGAGGCGAAGUCGAGUCAUCCUGCACGACCCACCA
rnacentral:sRNA from 1 species